GUGCACCAGGCGCGAAACCUCUGCAAUGCGCGCAAGCGCGACAGGGCUACCCCGAGUGCCGCCCGCUGAGGGCGGCUUUUCUCCGGUGUAAUGAGUCGGAGGAAUAAGGGGUGGGCAAGCCUGGUGUCAGCCGCCGCGGUAAUACCAGCUCCCCGAGUGGUGGGGACGGUUAUUGGGCCUAAAGCGUCCGUAGCCGGUUCGGCAAGUCCUCCGUUAAAGCCAACGAUCCAAUCGUUGGAAUGCGGGGGAUACUGCCGGACUAGGGGGCGGGAGA
rnacentral:rRNA from 1 species